rnacentral:rRNA from 1 species
GACGAACGCUGGCGGCGUGCUUAACACAUGCAAGUCGAACGGAAAGGCCCUGCUUUUGUGGGGUGCUCGAGUGGCGAACGGGUGAGUAACACGUGAGUAACCUGCCCUUGACUUUGGGAUAACUUCAGGAAACUGGGGCUAAUACCGGAUAGGAGCUCCUGCUGCAUGGUGGGGGUUGGAAAGUUUCGUCGGUUGGGGAUGGACUCGCGGCUUAUCAGCUUGUUGGUGGGGUAGUGGCUUACCAAGGCUUUGACGGGUAGCCGGCCUGAGAGGGUGACCGGCCACAUUGGGACUGAAAUACGGCCCAGACUCCUACGGGAGGCAGCAGUGGGGAAUAUUGCACAAUGGGCGGAAGCCUGAUGCAGCAACGCCGCGUGCGGGAUGACGGCCUUCGGGUUGUAAACCGCUUUCGCCUGUGACGAAGCGUGAGUGACGGUAAUGGGUAAAGAAGCACCGGCUAAGUACGUG